rnacentral:rRNA from 1 species
CUUGGUCAUUUAGAGGAAGUAAAAGUCGUAACAAGGUUUCCGUAGGUGAACCUGCGGAAGGAUCAUUACACAUUCGGGGCGCUUCGGCGCUCCUUAAAUAACACCCACCCUCUGCCUACGUGUACCUCUAUAGCUUCCUCGGCGGGCUCGCCCGCCGCCAAGGAACCCACGAAACCCCUUGCAUUAUACGCGAAAACUUCUGAUAACAAACCUAAAUUAUCACAACUUUCAACAAUGGAUCUCUUGGUUCUGGCAUCGAUGAAGAACGUAGCGAAAUGCGAUAAGUAGUGUGAAUUGCAGAAUUCAGUGAAUCAUCGAAUCUUUGAACGCACAUUGCGGCCAUAGGUGUUCCUUUGGCCAUGCCUGUUCGAGCGUCAUUUACACCCUCAAGCCUAGCUUGGUGUUGGGCGUCUGUCCCGCCGUUUUCGCGCGCGGACUCGCCUCAAAGUCAUUGGCGGCGGUCGUGCCGGCCCCCUCGCGCAGCACAUUUGCGCUUCUCGGAGGCCCGGCGGAUCCGCGCUCCAGCAAGACCUUUCACGACUUGGCCUCGGAUCAGGUAGGGAUACCCGCUGAACUUAAGCAUAUCAAUAAGCGGAGGA